AUUGAACGCUGGCGGGAUGCUUAACACAUGCAAGUCGAACGAGUGGCGGACGGGUGAGUAAUGUAUCGGAACGUGCCCAGUGGCGGGGGAUAACUACUCGAAACUGUGGCUAAUACCGCAUACUAUAGGAUCGGCCGAUAUGGGAUUAGCUAGUUGGUGGGGUAAAGGCGCACCAAGGCGACGAUCCGUAGCUGGUUUGAGAGGAUGACAAGCCACACGGGGACUGAGAAACGGCCCAGACUCCUACGGGAGGCAGCAGUGGGGAAUUUUGGACAAUGGGGGAAACCCUGAGCCAGCCAUCCCGCGUGUAUGAGAAGGCCUUAGGGUUGUAAAGUACUUUUGGCAGAGAAGCGGUAUCUGCAGAAGAAGCACCGGCUAACUACGUGCCAGCAGCCGCGGUAAUAC
rnacentral:rRNA from 1 species